rnacentral:lncRNA from 1 species
ACCACUAGUUAAUGGGGGAGAAGCCCUGUGCGUACCCCUUCUACCAUGUGGGACUCUAUGGCUUCCAGCACCCUAUUCCUGUUGGCCUGUAAUAGCUUAUCCUGUUUGCCGCAAACACAUCAUCAAAUACCCAAGGCAGAGAUCAGACCCCAUUCUUUGCACUAGGGUCAGUAACCAGCCAUCCCAUUUCAUUUGGCUAAGGACAAGCUGAAGACAGGAAAGCAACGCUGGGAAAACAAUGACGCCCCAGUAUUCUCUGACUUAAGACAGCUUCCUGCAGGUGCACUGCUGCAUGGAAAUUCUAGCAUAUUCUAACCAGAAGUGGCCUCGGUGGCCACACGGUCCAACCUCCUUACUUUCAAUAGGAGAAGGAAGCCCAGGACAAGGAGAUGCCACCAAUCCCCUGGGCAGCUUCUGGUGCAUAAAACCCUCACCCGGGCAAGGAGCACCGUGGGCCCUGUCCUCCAGCCCUCGCAGAGCCUGGCUGCUGGCACAUGACUCUCCUUGUUUCCUUUUUAAAAAUACCUCUCUGUUCCUAAACUCUACUCUUGAGGGAGAUGACAGAGGUGCCGAGGUCUGAGGCAGGCAAGGCUCAAUGCACGCACCACUCGCAGUACCCCCCCCGCCCCCAGAAGAGCCUCCACACCUCCAGGGUCAUGAAGUGCUAGCAGAACCUCCAGCCCCCAGGGAAAGCCUGUAUUUCAGAAAAGGGGCCCUGGUAAUUAUCUGGGCAAACAUCAUCUCAUUGGGGCCUGGAAGGCAACCUCCUCAACACAGUUCUGAUUAGUACCAGGCAAAGUUCAUACUCUUAAGUGCUGGUCCUUAACCUGAAAUCUCCUAAAAGGACAAUGAAGUGUUGCAUGGAUCUCCUCCGCUGAAAUAUUAACCUGUGCACUGACUGCUGUGAUCCUGUGCGUCGCCAAGGGCCAUACCCCCACCCCCUCCAAUACCAAGCAGUUAGGACACCGUCUUAGAUCCAGAGAAGCGCACCAGCCUCUGAAGUGGGCCAAGCCAUUCCCCCACCCCAAGGCUCACAGCACCCAGACAGGAACUAACAGAAGACGAUGGGUUGCUGUUACGAUUUUCCAAAGGGAUUUAAGCAAGCACAGGCUCUUCUUUUUGCUCGCCCCACCAGAAAACUCUAUUUCCCCAUUAUCAUGACCCCUCUGGGAAGACCCAAUAUGUCCCGCUACAGUGGAAAAAAGGGAAUGCACCUUUUGCUACCAGAGAACAAACCGUCCAGAUUGACCCUGGCUGGGAAAGACUCCAGCAACCAAUUCUUCUGCCUCUAUCCACAGGGCAAGUCCAGCCAGGGGAUCCAGGGGGAGCCGUCAGUGAAACCACCCCCCAUCUUGCCAUUGCUUGAACAGUACUCCCUGGCCCUUCAUGCCAGGUGGGCACAUCCACUGCCCUCUCCUCACCACCCCUUGCCCUUGAACAUCUCAAGGAGGCCUAUCUCUUAACCUAAACUUCCUACCUAAAAAUAGAAAUGACAUCUAGAAUUACAGAAACAAGUCUGGCCCAAUCCGGCCUCAUGGUGCUACUUGGUACUGUAUGCUGCAGGCCAGAGCAAAAUAAAUGUUUCUUUCUUGAGAGAGACAUCACAAUAGGCACAACUGCGUGCUGUGUGUUCCAGCUCCCUCUCUGAGCCUUCUUGCCUGAUGGCACACGCGUGCAGGGCUGGAAGGGCAGACCUGCGUCACUGUGGCAAACCUGCUCUCCUGGUUUUCUGUUAGCGCCAUGUGCAAAUUACUCAGCAGAAAAGGCCAAGAGAAGCUAUAACAUCUUUAUCUGAAGCAACUGAAAAAGUUGGUUUUUGCAAGUAUGGCUGUCGGAAA